rnacentral:rRNA from 1 species
CAGCGAUAAGGGAACCUCGAGUGCCAGGUUACAAAUCUGGCUGUCGUGAUGCCUAAAAAGCAUUGCAUAGCAAGGGCCGGGCAAGACCGGUGCCAGCCGCCGCGGUAACACCGGCGGCUCGAGUGGUAACCGUUAUUAUUGGGUCUAAAGGGUCUGUAGCCGGCCGGAUAAGUCUCUUGGGAAAUCUGGCAGCUCAACUGUCAGGCUUUCAGGAGAUACUGUCUGGCUCGAGGCCGGGAGAGGUGAGAGGUACUUCAGGGGUAGGGGUGAAAUCUUGUAAUCCUUGAAGGACCACCAGUGGCGAAGGCGUCUCACCAGAACGGACCUGACGGCAAGGGACGAAAGCUAGGGGCACGAACCGGAUUAGAUACCCGGGUAGUCCUAGCCGUAAACGAUACUCGCUAGGUGUCGGCCACGGUGCGACCGUUGUCGGUGCCGUAGGGAAGCCGUGAAGCGAGC